AGUGAACGCUGGCGGUAGGCCUAACACAUGCAAGUCGAACGGCAGCACAGUAAGAGCUUGCUCUUACGGGUGGCGAGUGGCGGACGGGUGAGGAAUACAUCGGAAUCUACUUUUUCGUGGGGGAUAACGUAGGGAAACUUACGCUAAUACCGCAUACGACCUACGGGUGAAAGCAGGGGAUCUUCGGACCUUGCGCGAUUGAAUGAGCAGAUGUCGGAUUAGCUAGUUGGCGGGGUAAAGGCCCACCAAGGCGACGAUCCGUAGCUGGUCUGAGAGGAUGAUCAGCCACACUGGAACUGAGACAGGGUCCAGACUCCUACGGGAGGCAGCAGUGGGGAAUAUUGGACAAUGGGCGCAAGCCUGAUCCAGCCAUACCGCGUGGGUGAAGAAGGCCUUCGGGUUGUAAAGCCCUUUUGUUGGGAAAGAAAAGCAGCAGGUUAAUACCCCGCUGUUCUGACGGUACCCAAAGAAUAAGCACCGGCUAACUUCGUG
rnacentral:rRNA from 1 species